UGUCAGAGCAAUCCUCAGUAACACGUACUCAUUAUUUGUGUCACUGGUUUUCUUCUGACGAA
rnacentral:pre_miRNA from 1 species